rnacentral:rRNA from 1 species
CUGGCUCAGAUGAACGCUGGCGGCGUGCUUAACACAUGCAAGUCGCGCGUGAAAGGACUUCGGUCCGAGUAAAGCGGCGCACGGGUGAGUAACGCGUGGAUGAUCUACCCAUGAGUUAGGAAUAACGGCUGGAAACGGUCGCUAAUACCAAAUACGCUCCGAUUUCAACUUCGGGGGAAAGGUGGCCUCUGCUUGCAAGCUACUGCUCAUGGAUGAGUCCGCGUCCCAUUAGCUAGUUGGUGGGGUAACGGCCCACCAAGGCGACGAUGGGUAGCCGGUCUGAGAGGAUGACCGGCCACACUGGGACUGGAACACGGCCCAGACUCCUACGGGAGGCAGCAGUGGGGAAUAUUGCGCAAUGGGCGAAAGCCUGACGCAGCGACGCCGCGUGAGGGAUGAAAGGUCCUCGGAUCGUAAACCUCUGUCAGGAGGGAAGAACCGCCACGGUGCUAAUCAGCCGUGGUCUGACGGUACCUCCAAAGGAAGCACCGGCUAACUCCGUGCCAGCAGCUGC